rnacentral:rRNA from 1 species
GAAAUUGAAUAAGGGCGCAUGGUGGAUGCCUAGGCUCAAGGAGGCGAUGAAGGACGUGGGAAGCUGCGAUAAUCUGCGGUUAGGCGCAACCGGCCAUUGACCCGCAGGUCUCCGAAUGGGACAACCCGCCGCCGAAAGGCGGCAUCACGCAUUGAGCGUGAGGCGAACGCGGGGAACUGAAACAUCUUAGUACCCGCAGGAAGAGAAAACAACAGUGAUUCCCCCAGUAGUGGCGAGCGACCGGGGAAGAGCCCAAACCGUCGGCGUUUCGGCGCCGUCGGGGUAGUAGGGCCGCAAUGUCGCACAAGCACCGUUAAGCGGAACGGACUGGAACGUCCGGCCAUAGCGGGUGAAAGCCCCUUACGCGCCGUCGGUGCUGGCGUAGCGGUUCCCUGAGUAGCGCGGGGCACGAGAAACCCUGUGCGAAUCCGCCGGGACCAUCCGGCAAGGCUAAAUACUCCCUUGAGACCGAUAGUGAACAAGUACCGUGAGGGAAAGGUGGGAAGCACCCCGUCGAGGGGAGUGAAACAGACCCUGAAACCAUGCGCCUACAAGCGGUCGGAGCACGCAUGUGCGUGUGACGGCGUGCCUUUUGCAUAAUGAACCUACGAGUUGCCGUCGCCGGCGAGGUUAACCGUGAAGACGCGGGGAGCCGGAGUGAGAGCGAGCCUGAAGAGGGCGCAUAGUCGGCGGUGGCAGACGCGAAACCAAGUGAUCUACACUUGGCCAGGGUGAAGUCCCGGUAACGCGGGAUGGAGGCCCGAACCGAUAAGCGUUGAAAAGCUUCCGGAUGAGCCGAGUGUAGGAGUGAAAGGCCAAUCAAACUUGGAGAUAGCUCGUACUCCCCGAAAGGCAUUUAGGUGCCGCGUGGGGUGUUCCGGGCGCGAGGUAGAGCGACCGAUAGGACGCGAGGGCUUCACCGCCUGUCAAGUCCUGACGAACUCCGAAUGCGCGUCCGCAGAAGCCCUGCAGUAAGGGGGCGGGUGCUAAGGUCCGCCCCCGAGAGGAGAAGAAUCCAGACCGCCGUCUAAGGCCCCGGAAUUCUGCCUGAGUUAGUCUAACGAAGUGUGCCCCCUGGGACAGCCAGGAUGUUGGCUUGGAAGCAGCCAUUCAUUCAAAGAGUGCGUAACAGCUCACUGGUCGAGGGGGCUCGCGUGGAUAAUAAUCGGGUAUAAGGCAGAUGCCGAAGGCGCGGGAUAUCGAAAGAACGUAUCGGUAGGGGAGCAUUCCAGGUGCGCAGAAUGCAAGGGGCGACCCAUGCUGGAGCGCCUGGAAAGGCAAAUGUAGGUAUGAGUAACGACAAGGGGGGCGCGAACCCCCCCCGCCGCAAGGCCAAGGUUUCCCGGGCGAUGCCAGUCAUCCCGGGGUAAGUCGGGCCCUAAGCCUAAGCCGAAUGGCGAUGGCGAUGGCAGACACGGUUGAUAUUCCGUGACUGCCCGUGCGGGCGAUGCGGCAACGGAGAAGUGACACCGCCGCGCGCAGACGGAACUGCGCGUUGAAGGGUGUAGGCGUCGAGGGGCGCAGUCAAGCACACGCCCCGAGCCGAACCUGAGAGUACGGCGCUCCAUUCGUGGAGGGCCGAGAGUGCGGGUAAUCCGGCUCCCAAGAAACCCCGCUAAGCUUAACCGCACGGGCACCCGUACCGCAAACGGACACACGUGGCCGGGUAGAGCAUACCAAGGCGUUGAGAGACUCAUGGUCAAGGAACUAGGCAAACCAGCCCCGUAACUUCGGGAGAAGGGGUCCUCCCCCUGUGGGAGGCGCAGCGAACAGGCCCAGGCAACUGUUUACCAAAAACACAGGGCUGUGCAAACUCGAGAGAUGAAGUAUACAGCCUGACACCUGCCCGGUGCCGGAAGGUUAAGAGGAGGCGUCACCGCAAGGGAAGCGCCGAGUUGAAGCCCCGGUAAACGGCGGCCGUAACUAUAACGGUCCUAAGGUAGCGAAAUUCCUUGUCGGGU